GGGGAGACAUUUAGGGUCGUGGGUGAUGAGGAUUAUUUUAGGCUGGUUACUUUUAAAACUGCAGAUGAGAAGGGGGCUCUGAGGAGUGGAAUUUGCUUGCCCUUUGAUGAGAGACAUUUGCGUUUGUGAAGGAAGUCUCCAUCUGUGGGGAGUGUCUCCCUCUCUGCACCAGGAGGAAGGCGGGAUGGCCUUAUCUGGAACUCUUAAUGGGGAAGGCAAGGACUUAAGUUGUUUACUGUCUGGCAACCUCAGAUAUUUUCAAGAUUCAUCUAUGUUACAGCAUGCAUUAAAACUUCAUUCCUUCCUAUGGCUGAACAAUGUUCCAUUGUGCAGAUACACCACAUUUCGUUUAUCCAUUCUUCUGCUGAUAGACACUUGGGUUGUUUCCACUUCUUGGCUGUGACUUAUCUUUUCACUGGAUAUUUACAAAGUCAAAGGGAAGGUCUCAGCGGAAUCCACAGAGGGUAUGUGCCUCCUCUCAGCAUCCAUCCUCUACCCUACCUCUCAAGAGAGUUAAGGAGACACAGUCACUCGGGUCCCUGACUGACAGAGCUCUGCCACCGUCAACGCAGGCUUCCAGUGUCACUGCAGUGAGUGCUGAGGCAUGCCCCCAGAUUCCCCUUGGGGCCUAGGUGCUGAGGACUGUCUUCUCUUGAGAGGGGCUCACAGCUGAGACCCUCUUGAGAUACUACUGAGAUACUACUGCUUCACUUGAGGUUUUCCCCUCCCUGGAGAAAGCCCACAUCCAGAGACUUGGGGUGCAAAGGCCCAACCCCCUUUCCCCACUUUGGGGAUCUCUGAAGGGCUAGCCCAGCUUCAGAGCAGCCUGUGGGAUAGGCUGAAGCCACUAUUAGGACUGAACUCAGUUGAACUUCUCCUUCUGUUCGGUUGUGUUCUCCUCUACGCAUGUGUUUCGAGAACACCGUGCAAUAAACCACCCAUGCGCAGAUCUCCAUCUCAAAGUCUGUUUUCAGGGAACCCAACCUGAACAGGCAUCUUCAGGGCCACUUCCAGUCCACCCGCAGAAAGGGGCAAGUGCAUGGAGGAGCACUGUGGAAGGUCUGGGAUGCCGAAUGAUAGGGGUGCCACACAUCACAUCCACCGCCUACCACCCAAUCACACGGCCACUCUCAACAUCUCAGAGUGGGAAGAAGGAGUGUGACAGUGUCUCCUGCAAAUGGGUGAGCACUUAGCUGUCUCUGCACUUGCAUCUACACACACACGUUCCAGGGCAAAACACAUCUGCAGCAUCUGAGGAAUUAAAAUUUGAGGUGACUCAGGCCCAUGUUUAGGUGGAAGAAGGGACACACUUUGUCAGUGCCCAGAUCCCUGGACUCUCCUAUUACAAACCUCUUGUGGGACCCUUGUAUUCAGAGUGUUCAAUUAAAUCAUUGAUGCUUCCUCUGCUUUCAGAGGAAAUUUGUUUUUCAGAAGGAGCAAAGUGAACUCUGAAGACUGUGGGAAAGGAUUAGUAG
rnacentral:lncRNA from 1 species